UUUAAUCAGCAAUAACUUUGGGUAUUAAAAACAGUAGCGCUAAUGCAAAUGGGAUUAAAAGUCCUUAUUACAAUGUUGGAUGGCACCCACUUUGAAUUCAGGCUCUGCGUUGACAUCUCAGAAUCUCAGCCAUACCUCCACAGAAACCAGGAACUGCUAUCUGAUGAUGCGAAGCAACACGGGCUGAAAAUCUGCUCAGAAGAGCAAGUGGUGAAGAGCUGUUAUUGGAAGCCUUCUUCUCUUACUGCAGUAGUAGACUGAAGAAUAAAAUAAACAAAAAUAAUCA
rnacentral:lncRNA from 1 species